UGAAAGAACUAAAUUAAUCAUUAAAAAGCAAAGAUAAAUCCUUUUACUUUCUGCAUAAUGUACUAACUAGAAAUAACUUUACAUAGAGAACCACAGCAAUGUCCCCCGAAACCAGAUGAGCUACUCAAGGAGAGCUAGAAGAGCACACCCAUCUAUGUAGCUAUACAGCGAGAAAAUCUAUGAGUAGUGGCAACAAACCUAUAGAGGCUGGUGAUUGCUGGUUGUCCAUUACAGAAUCUUAGUUCAACUUUAAACUUUUCCACAGAACUACUUAAUCCCUCUGUAAGUUUAACUGUUUGUCUAAGGAGGGACAGCUCUUUAGACCCUAAGAAACAACCUUUCCGCAGAGAGUAAAAAAUGAUAUUAUCAUCAUUGGCCUAAAAGUAGCCACCAAUUAAGAAAGCGUUCAAGCUCAAUAGCUAACUGUUUUUAACGUUAUCCACUUUACUGACUCCCAACAUUACAUUGGACUAAUCCAUUACUCGGUAGAAGCAACAAUGUUAAUAUAAGUAACAUGAAAAUAUUCUCCAUUGCAUAAGCUGAAACAGACUGGAAUAACUACUGACAGUUUAACAGCCAUGUACUAAAUAUCCUACUGUUUACACUGUUAACACAGGCAUGCUCUAAGGAAAGACUACCAGAAGUAAAAGGAAUUCGGCAAACCUCACCAUGCCUGCUUAUCAAAAACAUCAACUUCAGCACUACCAGUGUUAGAGUCACUUCCUGCCCAGUGACAUAUGUUCAACGGCUGCGGUACCCUGACCAUACAAAGGUAGCAUAUAUAAUCAUUUGUUCCCUAAAUAGGGACUGAAUAUGAAUGGUCACAAGAUGGCUUAGCUGUCUGUUACUUUUAUGAAUGGCCACAAGAGGGUUUAGCUGCCUGUUACUUUUAAUCAGUGAAAUUGAUCUAUCUGUGAAGAGGCAGACAUAAAUAAGAUGGAAAGACCCUAUGGAGCUUCAAUUCAUUCAUGCAAAUGAUAAUCAAAAAGGCCUAUAGGCACUAACACACUACCCCUGCAUUAAAAUUUUUGGUUGGGGUGACCUUGGAGUAUAAUUCAACCUCUGAACAACCUAGACUAAGACCACACUAGUCUAAGUGAACUAGCACAAAUUGACCAAUAAUUUGAUCAACAGACCAAGUUACCCUAGGAUUAACAGUGCAAUCCUAUUCUAGAGUUCAUACCGACAAUAGGGUUUAUGACUUGAAUGUUCCAUCAGGACAUCCUAAUGGUGCAGCUGCUAUAAAGGGUUUAUUUGUUGAAUGAUUAAAGUCCUAUGUGAUCUGAGUUCAGACUAGAGAAAUCCAGGUCAGUUUCUAUCCAAUACUUCUCCCAAU
rnacentral:rRNA from 1 species